GGGAAGAAGCGAAAGUGACGGUACCUGCAGAAAGCGCCGGCUAACUACGUGCCAGCAGCCGCGGUAAUACGUAGGGCGCAAGCGUUAUCCGGAAUUAUUGGGCGUAAAGAGCUCGUAGGCGGUUUGUCGCGUCUGCUGUGAAUCCCGAGGCUCAACCUCGGGCCUGCAGUGGGUACGGGCAGACUAGAGUGCGGUAGGGGAGAUUGGAAUUCCUGGUGUAGCGGUGGAAUGCGCAGAUAUCAGGAGGAACACCGAUGGCGAAGGCAGAUCUCUGGGCCGUAACUGACGCUGAGGAGCGAAAGGGUGGGGAGCAAACAGGCUUAGAUACCCUGGUAGUCCACCCCGUAAACGUUGGGAACUAGUUGUGGGGACCAUUCCACGGUUUCCGUGACGCAGCUAACGCAUUAAGUUCCCCGCCUGGGGAGUACGGCCGCAAGGCUAAAACUCAAAGGAAUUGACGGGGACCCGCACAAGCGGCGGA
rnacentral:ncRNA from 1 species